rnacentral:rRNA from 1 species
UACGGAGGGUGCAAGCGUUAUCCGGAUUCACUGGGCUUAAAGCGUGCGCAGGCGGCUUUGUAAGCCAGAUGUGAAAGCCCCGGGCUCAACCUGGGAAUGGCAUUUGGGACUGCAAGGCUUGAGUGCGGCAGAGGAGACUGGAAUUCCUGGUGUAGCAGUGAAAUGCGUAGAUAUCGGGAGGAACACCUGUGGCGAAAGCGGCGCACUGGACCGCAACUGACGCUGAGGCGCGAAAGCUAGGGGAGCAAACAGG